UACGUAGGGGGCAAGCGUUAUCCGGAUUUACUGGGUGUAAAGGGAGCGUAGACGGCCUUGCAAGUCUGGUGUGAAAGCCCGGGGCUCAACCCCGGGACUGCACUGGAAACUGCAUGGCUGGAGUGCAGGAGAGGUAAGCGGAAUUCCUAGUGUAGCGGUGAAAUGCGUAGAUAUUAGGAGGAACACCAGUGGCGAAGGCGGCUUACUGGACUGUAACUGACGUUGAGGCUCGAAAGCGUGGGGAGCAAACAGG
rnacentral:rRNA from 1 species